UACGGAGGGUGCAAGCGUUAUCCGGAUUCACUGGGUUUAAAGGGUGCGUAGGCGGGCAGGUAAGUCAGUGGUGAAAUCUCCGGGCUUAACUUGGAAACUGCCAUUGAUACUAUCUGCCUUGAAUAUCCUGGAGGUGAGCGGAAUAUGUCAUGUAGCGGUGAAAUGCUUAGAUAUGACAUAGAACACCGAUUGCGAAGGCAGCUCACUACGGGAUUAUUGACACUGAGGCACGAAAGCGUGGGGAUCAAACAGG
rnacentral:rRNA from 1 species